AGUGAACGCUGGCGGUAGGCCUAACACAUGCAAGUCGAACGGCAGCACAGUAAGAGCUUGCGCUUACGGGUGGCGAGUGGCGGACGGGUGAGGAAUACAUCGGAAUCUACUUUUUCGUGGGGGCGAACGUAGGGAAACUUACGCUAAUACCGCAUACGACCUACGGGUGAAAGCAGGGGAUCUUCGGACCUUGCGCGAUCGAAUGAGCCGAUGUCGGAUUAGCUAGUUGGCGGGGUAAAGGCCCACCAAGGCGACGAUCCGUAGCUGGUCUGAGAGGAUGAUCAGCCACACUGGAACUGAGACACGGUCCAGACUCCUACGGGAGGCAGCAGUGGGGAAUAUUGGACAAUGGGCGCAAGCCUGAUCCAACCAUACCGCGUGGGUGAAGAAGGCCUUCGGGUUGUAAAGCCCUUUUGUUGGGAAAGAAAAGCAGCAGGUUAAUACCCCGCUGUUCUGACGGUACCCAAAGAAUAAGCACCGGCUAACUUCGUG
rnacentral:rRNA from 1 species